rnacentral:lncRNA from 1 species
CGUCUUCCGAGUGUCACAUUCCAACGCAUUAUUUAAAGCAUACAAGUGAAAAAUGUAUGAAGUCCAUUGUUCAGGAAGAAAAGCCGACUAAUUAAGGGAAAGCAAUUACCAACAUACAUCCAUUUUUUAGGGAAUUCCAUUUGGCAAAAGAUUUCAUGCAACAUCCAUACACAUUAAUAAGUAAUUAUUCAUUUCAGUAGUUCAUUGCUCAAUUGAUUUUGGUUGAUUUUAGGUGUUACCACUUAACAAAGAAAAACGUUCCAUUUUGUUGUUCACAUCAGUUUUACAUAAAUUAGAAAUGGGAAACAAUGAUCAUUCGUCAUGAAUUGGAGGCUGGGCCCAAAACGUGAAGUUGAGAUUGUUACCUUAAGCUUCUGGUUCCACCAUUUGUCCGAUGCAACGAUUCAGCCGGUGGCUUCGUUGUACUCCACCCCGCUUCGACGCAUUACGUCCCAAUGGUUGUGCAGUAGCUGCUUGCUCUAGUUGUGGUCGGUGACAAAGUUGAAGAGCGCGGACACUCGUUCCCAGUCGCGUUUGGUGAAACAC